UUUUCCUAAGUAGAAAUCAGCCCUUACAUCAUUCCUCGCUGCCGAGACCUUCUCCUUCCCGCCACCUCCUUCCUUCCCUGCUGUAGCGCUCAAGGCCUCAUAAGCAGGGUCAUUCCGGUGAUCAGCUGUUUUGCGUAUUUCAAUGUAUUGUCCAAAUCGGGAACUUCUGAAAAUGAAAGAAGGCUCUAGUUGUGGGUACACAGGACAGUGGGCUUAAACCUGAGCUGUCCCCAGUGCUAGCCUAAUCUCCACAAAGCACAACUCUGUGGAAUUCCCAGCUUGUCCUGAAUCUACAACUGUUCACCUUUCCCUGGCCUCCACUUUUGCAAUAUAUGGCCAUUAAGCAACCCCAGCUAUAUAAAAACUCCUUGAGUUUAGAGGUAAUUUUGUUAGCACCAAAUAGUGACAAUUGCAUAAAAAUAUAACUUCUUCCUCCCUCAAUCCCACAUCACUAGUACCAGGCACGUUGCAUGGACUCAAUAAAGCAUACUCUGGGUAACGUGUGGAACCAGCAAAGCCUGAUCCCCUGUAAGAAUGGCUAUAGCAAAGACGCAAAUAAAAAGCUGUGGGGAGAAGGAAAUAAUUAAUGCUUCCUAGAGAACCCAGGAAAAUAUCACAGAAUUUGAAAGUCUAGAGCUGGAUCUUGAGAGAUGAAUAGGUGUUUGCCAGAUGGGAAACCAAGGGAGGCCCUUCCAGGUCAAGAGAACAGCGUGUGCAAGAAAGGGUAAGACUAGGAGCAAGAUGAGGGGCUAAAUUUUCAUAGCCAGUGGCCCAGAGAAGCUGAAGCUAAGGGCAGUUUGGAUUAGGGGUCAUGAGAUGGAAUAAGAGAGAAAACACAGAGUCUUAAGGAGUCAGAGACAGGAGCAAGAUGGCUGCAGGUGGGUAAGGCACCCUGGAUGACAGCCCAGUGAGACUGUGCAAAGCAGGCCUUCAGCCUCUGUGGAACCUGACUGCAGGUGCAUUCCAUGACCCCCCAGGUGUGCCCCAUCCCUGAGCUCCUCCAGCAGUAUAAAAUACCUCCAGGUCACAACUGUCCUUAGAAGCAGAGGUUCACAGAACAAGCAUUUCAGUAGUCCCUAAUCUACACCAAGCAUUCAUUACACCUCGGCUCCCAAAGUGCUGGGACUAUAGGUGAGACUCCGCGCUUGGCCUUGUUUUCUCUACUUUGUAUACUGUCUUCUCCACUGGUGCUUGCCCUCCUUGCCUCCUAAAUGCAUUGAGUCUCUCUUUUCUAAAAUAAGAGAGGAAAGAAGGAGAAGUCACGGUCAUCAACAUCUGUGGGCCUUGUUUCCUCAGUGGCACUAUGGUUUUCCCUCUUGUAAGAGUAGCUUUUACUUCCAGUUUCCAUUUCUUACCGAAUGAUCUCUGUGACAAACACUGAGUGGCCACCCAGCCUCCCCCUGUUCCUUCCUGACAGGAUUCCUAACUGGUUCAGGAUUCAGGUAUCAGGUAUCCAUCUGCUUCAAGGCAGACUGGUUCCUCCCAGGCCCAGGCAUGAAUCUUGUUUCUUUAAGCGAGCAAUUCCCAAACUUUUUGGUCUCAGGACUUCAACUCUUCAGAAUACCCUCUUCAAUGACCUUUUGUUUAUAUGGGUUAUUUCUAUUUAUACUUACCAUUUUAGAAUUCAAAAUUCAGAAUUUAAAAAAAAAUUGUAAAUUCAUUUUAAACGAACAAUAAUAAGCCCAGUACAUGUUAACAUAAAUAAUACAUUUUUAAUGAAGUUAGCUAAUUGUGGAUAUUCUUCUUUGAUAUUCCAAAACUUGACAAGUGGUAAUUUAGCUUAGUUGCAAUGUGGAAUCUUAAACCAAGUCCAUGAACUUUUCACAGAUACUGAUUUUUCCAAAAUUCCAAUUUUCACUUGAAAACUCAAAUUUUAUUAUUGUCAACAAACACUGUUGGUUGUUUUCCUUGAAGUGACUCACUUCAUUCAUUUUUGGGAAAAUGUCUGCCAAAUACCCACGUCUGAAUAAUCAUAGUUUCUCUGUUGUUCUUUCAAGUAAAAAUGGUGUUCUGUGGAAACAUUAAAUACUUCGGACUUCUGGAACAGCAGGAGUGGUCUUGCAACCAUGAGGGGAAAGCCAAGACAAUCACAGAGAAGUGAAUCCUGCAGCUUGGGCAUAACUUUGAACCAGUGAAUUAGUCAAAGUGACCACACCCCGUCUCUGAAAUCCUUGUUCUGUGAGAUAAAUAUCUUCUUGACUGAGCCAUUUUUAGCUGAUUUCCUUUUAUUCGAGUUGAUACAGUCUUUGCCGUUGCGGAGGCUGCAAUCUACCUGGGUUGAAUAUUAGCAAAUACCUUGUUAUGUAGAUCCAGUCUUUCCAGCCAAAAUAUAAACUCCUUGAGAGAAGAGUUUCUUUAUUACUAUUUUUUUAUUAUUAUACUUUAAGUUCGCGUAAUUGCUUUAUGCAUGAUAAACAAAGGCAGUAGAAAUCAGGAUAAGAGUGAUCCCCUUAACUUCAGCAAAUGUCCCUGUAAUCUGAUGCCCUCGUUUUGCUCUAUGAUCUUGCUGCCAAAUCUUGGGUGAGUGUCCUUCAUUCUGUAAGACACAUUCUUUUCCUUAUGAGUCCCCAUCACUUAUGUCAUCUUUCACAAACCUUUUCCAGAUCAUUUGUUUCAUAAAAUAUUACUUAGUGUCUGACCUAUCUUCCACAUCCCCAACCUCCACACUAAAAUAUCAGGCAAGCAUACAUAUAAAAAGGUUACAAUAAUAAUAUAAUAAGUUUAGUUAUUACAUAUAUAAAUAAUGAGUAUUAAGGCAUAGACUGAAUUAGCCACAAACAUAUCUUGGAAGACAGAUCUACAAACCCAUUUAUCUCACCCUCAACCAUGGGCAUUUGAUUUUCUUUCUUGAAUAAAUAUGUGAAAUUAAGGUGAUUUUGUUUCAUAUUUAGCCUCUGGAAAUUUUCCUUGAAUGUCUUUCACUAUGUUCAUUGAAUCUUGGAUAGAGUCAAAAACUUCCUUUCAUCUCCAUUUCUAAUCAAUUGCCUUACAUCUGAAAUCUGACAUUUACUGGUCGUGUGACUUGGGCAAUUAACUUGGCUGCUUUGUGCCUUAGUUUCUCCAUUUUUAAAAUAAAAAUUGUAAUAUAGCCUAUCUUAAACAGUAGUUAUAAAAAUUAAAGAAUUAAAAAACAUGCACUUCAGAAAAUGCCUGACACAUUUUAAGAGCUCAAGAAGAAUUAGCUAUCAUUACAUUCUUACCAUUAGCAGCAUCAUCGUUACUUUGCCUAAAUGCACUGAUUCUGCACCCUUUUCUAUAGGACGAUCAUCUCCCCAUCUCCCAGCUUCUGGCAAGCACCACAGAGCUAUUUGCAGUUGCCAUUACUUCCUUUUCUACCCUUGAGACACAUGAAAAAGUUGCAGAAAAAUAACAAGAGCGUAUACAAUUUUCAAGAAAGAAGAGGACUUAGGGCUUUUUUCUGGUGGUUUUCCUCAUGUCUACUUUCUUGUUCUAUUUAUUUUCUGUCCUUGACCCUAUUAUCCUCUUUUGGAUUCUCCCACUUCUUCUGCCUUCCCCAAUCUUCAAGUGUUUCUCUACACCUGUCUCCAUACUUGAGUUUCACUCUAUUUGUAUUGUAAGAGCAUUUAAGGGAAGAACAAAUUUAUCCUUGUCAUUCUUAUUGACUCUGUGGUCAGAGUUGGAAUCUCAAGCAAUUGAUUUUUGUUUGUGUAUCAUUUUGAUAUACUGUGGUUCAGUAAUUUUCCAGAAGGGCAAAGGUCCUAUGGCAGAUGGUGGGUGUCCCCUGUGUGAUCAAACACCAGAUCAACUCUUAUAUUUCAGAAAUUAACAAUUCCCACAUGAACACUUUGGAAAACAAAAAGAAUACAUUAUCAUUUCCCUUGGCAAAGGGCCAGGCUGAUCUUCCACCUAUUAAAACCCUGAAGACAGCCCAAUGGAUAAGGGUCUAAAAAGAAGGAUCAAAAGUUCUCGAUUAAUAAAUUGUCAUAUCCAAACUCUUACUGCCAAUAAUGAUGCCCUUUCCAUCCAAGGCCAGCAGCCUAUCGAAGUUUUCUUUCCCACUUACAGACACAGAUACAUCUGGGGAUCUUUCCAUGUUUAACUUUUCUGGAACCUCUUAGUUUAUCUCACAUUCCCAUCUCCGCUCUUCUGCUUUGGUUAUAUAUUUUUGGGGGUUGUUUGUUUACCAUUUUUAUUGCCAAACUCACUUUCAAAACCCAUCUUAAAAGUUAUUUUUCUUGUUGACUCUUGCUCAUCCCCUCCCACUCCCAGAACUGGUCUCAUCUGGAAUUUAGGCCAGUUAAAGACACCAGAGAACUUGUGCAUAGGGUGAGUGUGUCCGCCAUCACCCAAAUCUGAAUACAUUUGAAACUGAAG
rnacentral:lncRNA from 1 species